CAAUACAUCACCGGCGGACGGGUGCGUAACACGUGGGAAUAUACCUUUUGGUUCGGAACAAGCAGGGAAACUUGCGCUAAUGCCGAAUGUGCCCUUACGGGGAAAGAUUUAUCGCCAAAGGAUUAGCCCGCGUAGGAUUAGCUAGUUGGUGAGGUAAUGGCUCACCAAGGCUCCGAUCCUUAGCUGUUCUGAGAGGAAGAUCAGCCACACUGGGACUGAGACACGGCCCAG
rnacentral:rRNA from 1 species